rnacentral:rRNA from 1 species
GACGAACGCUGGCGGCGUGCUUAACACAUGCAAGUCGAACGGAAAGGCCCUGCUUUUGUGGGGUGCUCGAGUGGCGAACGGGUGAGUAACACGUGAGUAACCUGCCCUUGACUUUGGGAUAACUUCAGGAAACUGGGGCUAAUACCGGAUAGGAGCUCCUGCUGCAUGGUGGGGGUUGGAAAGUUUCGGCGGUUGGGGAUGGACUCGCGGCUUAUCAGCUUGUUGGUGGGGUAGUGGCUUACCAAGGCUUUGACGGGUAGCCGGCCUGAGAGGGGGACCGGCCACAUUGGGACUGAGAUACGGCCCAGACUCCUACGGGAGGCAGCAGUGGGGAGUAUUGCACAAUGGGCGGAAGCCUGAUGCAGCGACGCCGCGUGCGGGAUGACGGCCUUCGGGUUGUAAACCGCUUUCGCCUGUGACGAAGCGUGAGUGACGGUAAUGGGUAAAGAAGCACCGGCUAACUACGUG